rnacentral:lncRNA from 1 species
CCAAUUCAGAGAUAAUUUUUUUUGAUCCAGCGAUUUUGAGACUUCUGCUUUCCUUAAGAUUAGGUUUUCUGGACGGAUAACCUUCGGCUUAACUUUUGCAUUAUAAUACCGGACUACUCUUUGUCGAUAUGCUGCCAUCCGAACUUGAGCUUGUUGUCAGACUUCUGAAAGUAGAUCUAGAUCGGCUCUCUGAUAUUCUGAAUUGCUCGGCUCACUGUAUUGCUCCACCCUCGCCGAUGGUAAUCCGAUCUCAAGUGAGAUCAUCGCUUCUAUGCCAUAAGCCAAAUUGAAUGACGAUUCUCUCAUUGGUACACGUGGAGUUGUUCGAUAAACCCACA